rnacentral:rRNA from 1 species
UACAGAGGGUGCGAGCGUUAAUCGGAAUUACUGGGCGUAAAGCGCGCGUAGGCGGCUUGUUAAGUCGGAUGUGAAAUCCCUGGGCUCAACCUAGGCAUUGCAUUCGAUACUGGCAAGCUAGAGUAUGGGAGAGGAAGGUAGAAUUCCAGGUGUAGCGGUGAAAUGCGUAGAGAUCUGGAGGAACACCGGUGGCGAAGGCGGAUCUCUGGGCCAUUACUGACGCUGAGGAGCGAAAGCGUGGGGAGCAAACAGG